GCUUAAUUUGUGUCAAAAUUCUAAGAGCAGUUUAUUCAAUUCCAAGUCCAUGUUCCAAUUCAAAUUCCAAUAUUAAAUGUCAACAAUCCAAUGCAAAUUCCAAAGGCACAUACACACAUACCACACACACAGUAAAAACAUUACAAUUCCAAGUCAGUGUUCCAAUUAAAAUUCCAAUAUUUAAUGUAUUUCUCGUAAACAAUUUCCAAAAUUUAAUAGUAUUCAUUGGACACACACACAUACCACAUGCACACAGUAAAACAUUAUUGGGUAAUAUCCGUAACAUAGUCCAACACUUCUUGGAAGACAUCUACAGCAUGAACACUGGAAUGGAGAGUUCUUUGUAGAGGAUAGAGUGCUGAAAGAUCUUGAAAUUGUUCUUCUGACAGUGGAGAAUGAGUAGGUGGUACUUCAACACGUUCAUUUUCUUGAACUUCUGGCACAGGCUCUUCCCAUAACAAGGGGCAAAUAUACGAAGUGCAGGAAAAAAAGAUGUAAGGUGUCUAUCGGAUUUAACAGGCUACAAGACUAUAUCAACAACUGGACGCUAAAGGGCGGAGCUCCUUUUUACUGUUUUGUACUGGAGCCAGUGCUGUGCCACCUAUUGGAUUAGAUGGAGACAUUAGGUGUUAAGUGUAGAGUGCACAAACGCUAUUUCAGCAAGCACAUGUUUUAACACUCUAACGCUCCCAACUGCAUCAUCAUACCAAGAAUUGGAAGAUGCCUUAAACGCCGUUCUUCUUAAUCAAUCUACCGCUAGUGCUGUUUUCACUGAUUUGUAAACACACAUGGACGUACUCUAAUGACACUAUAACUGCUGAUUGUUUGUUCAUUAUCAGACUCUCUAUGAAAGCUCAAUGAAUCUACAUAUACCACUUAUAUUUAUAAGAUACUCUUGAUCAUUGUUAUUUAUAUACAUUUUUAUAUAAUUCUUGGAUUUCCAUUCAUUCGUUCUUGAGUUAUCUGUUC